rnacentral:lncRNA from 1 species
CUCUUCCAUUCUGUAAGCGUCUUACUCUCAAAAUAAACUCACAAUGACGUCACACAAGCUUUUCAGCCCACCAGCACAGUGUUAAGAUGUAUUAGCUUGUAUAUAUUUCCAGUUUUCCCCAUGAAUAAGUGAUAAUUUCUCUUUUUUUUUUUUCACACAGACCCAGAUACUCAAAACCCAAGCAAGAAAGGAUGUGGUGGACAGUCUGUCCUGCGAGCAUAAGGACGUGUGCUUGGUUUCAAAAGUCUCAUCGGUGCAAAAUGAGCACAGUUUUACCCAUCAAAACACCAUCUUCAAUAAAGAGAUCACUCGGGCAGAGACAUGGAUCCGAGUGAAGCUGCGAGACCUGAGGAACGCCAGUAACGUCCAUAGAUGUCCUCUGACUGACUGGGAGGAACUUUGUCAAACCCUCCAGAGAGAUUUGAAGGACUUUGAGAACACCGUCAUACAACUCAACCAGAUGGGAGAGCAAUUAAUGUGCAAGCUUAACCCGACGUCUGACCUGGUGAAGAAACAGCUGGCUCAGAUCCGCGACCAGUGGAACGCGCUCAAACAGACGGCAGCCAAUCAAAUCAAGGCGAUGGGCGGGGCUAAGACUCUCCAGGAGUUUAAUAAGAAGGUGGACCGUCUGGAGGUGUGGAUCAAAGAAAAGGUUAAACACACCACUAAACGUAGUUAUACUAAUUAACAG